GUGAAGCGGCAAGAGCUCAAAUUUGAAAGCUGGCCCCUUCGGGGUCCGCGUUGUAAUUUGCAGAGGAUGCUUCGGGUGCAGCCCCCGUCUAAGUGCCCUGGAACGGGCCGUCAUAGAGGGUGAGAAUCCCGUCUGGGACGGGGUGUCUGCGUCCGUGUGAAGCUCCUUCGACGAGUCGAGUUGUUUGGGAAUGCAGCUCUAAAUGGGUGGUAAAUUUCAUCUAAAGCUAAAUACUGGCCGGAGACCGAUAGCGCACAAGUAGAGUGAUCGAAAGAUGAAAAGCACUUUGAAAAGAGAGUUAAACAGCACGUGAAAUUGUUGAAAGGGAAGCGUUUGCGACCAGACUCGCCCGCGGGGUUCAGCCGGCAUUCGUGCCGGUGUACUUCCCCGUGGGCGGGCCAGCGUCGGUUUGGGCGGCCGGUCAAAGGCCCUCGGAAUGUAUCACCUCUCGGGGUGUCUUAUAGCCGAGGGUGCAAUGCGGCCUGCCUGGACCGAGGAACGCGCUUCGGCUCGGACGCUGGCGUAAUGGUCGUAAAUGACCCGUCUUGAAACACGGACCAAGGAGUCUAACAUCUACGCGAGUGUUCGGGUGUCAAACCCGUACGCGCAGUGAAAGCGAACGGAGGUGGGAGCCCCCUCGCGGGGCGCACCAUCGACCGAUCCUGAUGUCUUCGGAUGGAUUUGAGUACGAGCGUAGCUGUGGGGACCCGAAAGAUGGUGAACUAUGCCUGAAUAGGGCGAAGCCAGAGGAAACUCUGGUGGAGGCUCGCAGCGGUUCUGACGUGCAAAUCGAUCGUCAAAUUUGGGUAUUAGGGCGAAAGACUAAUCGAA
rnacentral:rRNA from 1 species